CCCUCCCGGAAGCGCCGUCGGAGCGUGUGCAUGGCGCGCGAGUCCUGUGUCUCGGGGGCUGACUCCGCCGCGGCCGCGCUCUUCGCCUGGGUACGUGGCUCCGCCCCCGCGCUCGGGGAGCGACUGAGGGGGUUCGGAGACCCGGGAGCGCCCGGCGUCUGCGGUGCAAAUAGCUACGGGCAGCUUGGCCUUGGCCACAGGGAAGAUGUGCUUCUGCCCCAGCAACUGAGCAACUUCUGUGAGCCUGGGUGUAUCAAGAGUGUCACAGGAGGAGGGGGCCAUUCUGCAGCUGUCACAGAUGGAGGAAGUCUUUUUGUUUGUGGCCUGAAUAAAGAUGGGCAGCUGGGGCUUGGUCACACAGAAGAUGUUCUGUGUUUUACCAUCUGCAAGCCUCUCCUUGGUUGUCCAAUCCUACAGGUUGCCUGUGGCUGGGAUUUUACUAUCAUGCUCACAGAAACAGGUCAAGUUCUGUCAUGUGGAUCCAAUGCCUUUGGCCAAUUAGGUGUGCCACACGGCCCUCGAAGAUGUGUAGUCCCCCAGGCCAUUGAGCUCCUGAGAGAGAAGGUUGUUUGUGUCGCCGCUGGACUGAGGCAUGCGUUAGCCACUACAGUGAGUGGCAGCGUGUUCCAGUGGGGCACUGGCUUGGCAUCUUCUGGCCGACGCUUGUGUCCUGGGCAGACUCUUCCAUUGUUUUUGACAGCCAAGGAACCAAGCAGAGUGACAGGCCUAGAGAAUUCUACAGCAGUAUGCGUUGUUGCGGGAUCUGAGCACUCCGCCUCAUUAACAGAUACAGGAGAGCUGUUUGUCUGGGGCCGGAACAAGAAUGGGCAGCUGGCUUCCCUGGCUGCGUUCGUCCUUCUGCCCCAGAGAAUAGAUGCAUGUUGCUUUCAGGAUGAAAAGGUCACUGCCAUCUGGAGUGGCUGGACACAUCUGGUUGCUCAGACAGAAACUGGCAAGAUGUUUACCUGGGGUCGAGCAGACUAUGGUCAACUAGGGAGGAGGUUGGAAUCUCCUGAAGGCCAGAAACCCCACAAGCAAGAUUCACAGCUCACCUUCAGGAGGCCACAGAGCAGUGUGCCUUUGCCUCUGCGUUGCCUGACAGGAGCAGCCAAGGAGCCUGCAGUCAGCCAAAGGAAUAUGCCUGAGAGUGUGGGUCAGGCAGAGAGAAACACAGAUCAUCGUGGGAAGGGCAGGAUCAGAGAGAGACGUGAAAGAACUGUCUGUGGACUCAUCACCCCUUCCUUGUCAUGAGAAGAAAUGCCACAGUCAAAGUGGCAAAGAAAGGCCCGACGGGAUAAGGGUUUUCUUCUGUUACCCCCUCCCAAAAGAAGUUGCUGAACCAGAGUCCUUGGUCAAAGACCACUAGGACUAGCUCCUUCUUGCUCCUUUGAACAGUUAUAUUUGUGUUUGAACUAUACCCUCUUAAUUACUGACGUCCACGUGCCGAGGCAAAACUGGAGAAUUCUGAACCCUAGUCCCUCUGCUGCAGAAGGCAUGCCAGCCUUAAGACUGGAGACAUUCUCUCAGUCCUGAUGAAUGUUCUGGGAUGUCUCAGUGGGUCUAAGAGAAGUCUUCAAAGGAGGAAUACACUGCUGCUCUCUUCACCCAGAUUUCUUGUGGAUCAGAGCAUAAUUUGGCAGUAAUUAGUGACAAGUGUUGUUCCUGGGGCUGGAACGAACAUGGCAUGUGUGGAGAUGGCACUGAGUCCAACGUCUGGACUCCAUCCCCAGUAC